GACGAGCCACACGAACGUUAUUCGGAAUUACUGGGCGUAAAGAGCGCGCAGGCGGUCGUUCAAGUCGCGUGUGAAAGCCCCCCGGCUCAACUGGGGAGGGUCACGCGAUACUGAUCGACUCGAAGGCAGGAGAGGGAAGUGGAAUUCCCGGUGUAGUGGUGAAAUGCGUAGAUAUCGGGAGGAACACCAGUGGCGAAGGCGACUUCCUGGCCUGUUCUUGACGCUGAGGCGCGAAAGCUAGGGGAGCAAACGGG
rnacentral:rRNA from 1 species